CUGACCUCAAAUCAGGUAGGACUACCCGCUGAACUUAAGCAUAU
rnacentral:ncRNA from 40 species